UUGAUCCUGCCGGACCCCACUGCUAUCGGGAUAGGACUAAGACAUGCUAGUCAAGCGCUCUCAAGCCAACAAGAGAGUGCGGCACACAGCUCAGUAACACGUGGCUAACCUGCCCUCGAGACGGAGACAACCCCGGGAAACUGGGGCUAAUAUUCGAUAGGCGAAGAGCUCUGGAAUGAGCCUUUACCCAAAAGAUGACUAGGUUAUGCUCCUGGUCAUCGCCCGAGGAUGGGGCCGCGACCGAUCAGGUUGUUGGUGAGGUAACGGCUCACCAAGCCAUUGACCGGUGCGGGCCGUGGGAGCGGGAGCCCGGAGAUGGGCACUGAGACAAGGGCCCAGGCCCUACGGGGCGCAGCAGUCGCGCAAACUUUGCAAUACACGAAAGUGUGACAGGGCUAUCCCGAGUGCCGUCCGCUGAGGAUGGCUUUUACCCAGUCUAGAAAGCUGGGAGAAUAAGGAGAGGGCAAGUCUGGUGUCAGCCGCCGCGGUAAUACCAGCCCUCCGAGUGGUGUGGAUGUUUAUUGGGCCUAAAGCAUCCGUAGCUGGCCAAGCCAGUCCCCUGUUAAACCCAACGAAUUAAUCGUUGGAUUGCGGGGGAUACUGCUCGGCUAGGGGACGAGAGAGGCCGACGGUAUUCUCGGGGUAGGGGUGAAAUCCUAUAAUCCCGGGAAGACCACCAGUGGCGAAGGCUGUCGGCUAGAACGAGCCCGACGGUGAGGGAUGAAAGCUGGGGGAGCGAACCGGAUUAGAUACCCGGGUAGUCCCAGUUGUAAACGAUGCAGGCUAGGUGUUUGGACGGCCACGCGCCGUUCUAGUGCCGCAGGGAAGCUGUUAAGCCUGCCGCCUGGGGAGUACGAUCGCAAGAUUGAAACUUAAAGGAAUUGGCGGGGGAGCACCACAAGGGGUGAAGCUUGCGGUUUAAUUGGAGUCAACGCCGG
rnacentral:rRNA from 1 species